UGAAUAAACAGGUGGGUGGCCGCCUCA
rnacentral:piRNA from 1 species